rnacentral:rRNA from 1 species
GAUGAACGCUGGCGGCGUGCCUAAUACAUGCAAGUCGAGCGAACGGACGAGAAGAUUGCUUCUCUGAUGUUAGCGGCGGACGGGUGAGUAACACGUGGAUAACCUACCUAUAAGACUGGGAUAACUUCGGGAAACCGGAGCUAAUACCGGAUAAUAUUUUGAACCGCAUGGUUCAAAAGUGAAAGACGGUCUUGCUGUCACUUAUAGAUGGAUCCGCGCUGCAUUAGCUAGUUGGUAAGGUAACGGCUUACCAAGGCAACGAUGCAUAGCCGACCUGAGAGGGUGAUCGGCCACACUGGAACUGAGACACGGUCCAGACUCCUACGGGAGGCAGCAGUAGGGAAUCUUCCGCAAUGGGCGAAAGCCUGACGGAGCAACGCCGCGUGAGUGAUGAAGGUCUUCGGAUCGUAAAACUCUGUUAUUAGGGAAGAACAUGUGUGUAAGUAACUGUGCACAUCUUGACGGUACCUAAUCAGAAAGCCACGGCUAACUACGUG